rnacentral:rRNA from 1 species
AUUCCUACGGGAGGCAGCAGUCGGGAAUAUUGCGCAAUGGAGGAAACUCUGACGCAGUGACGCCGCGUAUAGGAAGAAGGUUUUCGGAUUGUAAACUAUUGUCGAUAGGGAAGAAAAAUGACGGUACCUGAGUAAGAAGCACCGGCUAAAUACGUGCCAGCAGCCGCGGUAAUACGUAUGGUGCAAGCGUUAUCCGGAUUUACUGGGUGUAAAGGGAGCGCAGGCGGUGCGGCAAGUCUGAUGUGAAAGCCCGGGGCUCAACCCCGGGACUGCAUUGGAAACUACCGAACUAGAUGGUCGGAGAG